UACGGAGGGGGGCUAGCGUUGUUCGGAAUUACUGGGCGUAAAGCGCACGUAGGCGGCUUUGUAAGUUAGAGGUGAAAGCCCAGGGCUUAACCCUGGAAUUGCCUUUAAGACUGCAUCGCUAGAAUCGUGGAGAGGUGAGUGGAAUUCCGAGUGUAGAGGUGAAAUUCGAUAGAUAUUCGGAAGAACACCAGUGGCGAAGGCGACUCACUGGACACGUAUUGACGCGUGAGGUGCGAAAGCGUGGGGAGCAAACAGG
rnacentral:rRNA from 1 species